rnacentral:rRNA from 1 species
AACGAACGCUGGCGGCAUGCCUAACACAUGCAAGUCGAACGAGACCUUCGGGUCUAGUGGCGCACGGGUGCGUAACGCGUGGGAACCUGCCCUUAGGUUCGGAAUAACUCCCCGAAAGGGGUGCUAAUACCGGAUAAUGUCUUCGGACCAAAGAUUGAUCGCCUUUGGAUGGGCCCGCGUUGGAUUAGCUAGUUGGUAGGGUAAAAGCCUACCAAGGCGACGAUCCAUAGCUGGUCUGAGAGGAUGAUCAGCCACACUGGGACUGAGACACGGCCCAGACUCCUACGGGAGGCAGCAGUGGGGAAUAUUGGACAAUGGGCGAAAGCCUGAUCCAGCAAUGCCGCGUGAGUGAUGAAGGCCUUAGGGUUGUAAAGCUCUUUUACCCGGGAUGAUAAUGACAGUACCGGGAGAAUAAGCUCCGGCUAACUCCGUG